GAUGAACGCUGGCGGCGUGCUUAACACAUGCAAGUCGAACGGGAAUUACUUUAUUGAAACUUCGGUCGAUUUAAUUUAAUUCUAGUGGCGGACGGGUGAGUAACGCGUGGGUAACCUGCCUUAUACAGGGGGAUAACAGUCAGAAAUGGCUGCUAAUACCGCAUAAGCGCACAGAGCUGCAUGGCUCAGUGUGAAAAACUCCGGUGGUAUAAGAUGGACCCGCGUUGGAUUAGCUGGUUGGUGGGGUAACGGCCCACCAAGGCGACGAUCCAUACCCGGCCGAGGAGGGUGGACGGCCACAUUGGGACUGAGACACGGCCCAGACUCCUACGGGAGGCAGCAGUGGGGAAUAUUGCACAAUGGGGGAAACCUUGAUGCAGCGACGCCGCGUGAAGGAAGAAGUAUCUCGGUAUGUAGACUUCUAUCAGCAGGGAAGAUAGUGACGGUACCUGACUAAGAAGCCCCGGCUAACUACGUGCCAGCCGCCGCGGUAACAC
rnacentral:rRNA from 1 species